GACGAACGCUGGCGGCGUGCCUAAUACAUGCAAGUAGAACGAGUGGCGAACGGGUGAGUAAUGUCUGGGAAACUGCCUGAUGGAGGGGGAUAACUACUGGAAACGGUAGCUAAUACCGCAUACCAUCAGAUGUGCCCAGAUGGGAUUAGCUUGUUGGUGGGGUAACGGCUCACCAAGGCGACGAUCCCUAGCUGGUCUGCGAGGAUGAUCAGCCACACUGGAACGGAUACACGGUCCAGACUCCUACGGGAGGCAGCAGUGGGGAAUAUUGCACAAUGGGCGCAAGCCUGAUGCAGCCAUGCCGCGUGUAUGAAGAAGGCCCUAGGGUUGUAAAGUACUUUCAGCGGGGAGGCGUUACCGACAGAAGAAGCACCGGCUAACUCCGUGCCAGCAGCCGCGGUAAUAC
rnacentral:rRNA from 1 species